CUGAACCAGCCAUGCCGCGUGAAGGAUGAAGGCCCUCUGGGUUGUAAACUUCUUUUAUCUGGGCUUAUUAAGCCUGUUUUCUAACGGGGUUGACGGUACCAGAGGAAUAAGCACCGGCUAACUCCGUGCCAGCAGCCGCGGUAAUACGGAGGGUGCAAGCGUUAUCCGGAUUCACUGGGUUUAAAGGGUGCGUAGGCGGGUUGGUAAGUCAGUGGUGAAAUCUCCGAGCUUAACUGGGAAACUGCCAUUGAUACUAUUUGUCUUGAAUUUUGUGGAGGUAAGCGGAAUAUGUCAUGUAGCGGUGAAAUGCUUAGAUAUGACAUAGAACACCAAUUGCGAAGGCAGCUUACUACACGAAUAUUGACGCUGAGGCACGAAAGCGUGGGGAUCAAACAGGAUUAGAUACCCUGGUAGUCCACGCCCUAAACGAUGAAUACUCGACAUUGGCGAUACACUGUUGGUGUCUGAGCGAAAGCAUUAAGUAUUCCACCUGGGAAGUACGAUCGCAAGAUUGAAACUCAAAGAAAAUUGACGG
rnacentral:rRNA from 1 species